AACGUACGCUGGCGGCACGCCUAACACAUGCAAGUCGAACGAAGUAGCAAUACUUAGUGGCAGACGGGUGAGUAACAUGUAGGUAUCUGCCCUUUGGCCUGGAAUAACACGAGGAAACUUGUGCUAAUACCGGAUAAGUCUUUACGGAGAAAGCUUUAUGCACCAUUGGAUGAGCCUGCACUUGAUUAGUUUGUUGGUGGGGUAAUGGCCUACCAAGACUGUGAUCAAUAGCUGAUUUGAGAGGAUGAUCAGCCACAUUGGGACUGAGACACGGCCCAAACUCCUACGGGAGGCAGCAGUGGGGAAUCUUGCACAAUGGAGGAAACUCUGAUGCAGCGAUGCCGCGUGAGUGAAGAAGGCCCUUGGGUUGUAAAGCUCUUUCGUCGGGGAAGAAAAUGACUGUACCCGAAUAAGAAGGUCCGGCUAACUUCGUGCCAGCAGCCGCGGUAAUACGAAGGGACCUAGCGUAGUUCGGAAUUACUGGGCUUAAAGAGUUCGUAGGUGGUUGAAAAAGUUAGUGGUGAAAUCCCAGAGCUUAACUCUGGAACUGCCAUUAAAACUUUUCAGCUAGAGUAUGAUAGAGGAAAGCAGAAUUUCUAGUGUAGAGGUGAAAUUCGUAGAUAUUAGAAAGAAUACCAAUUGCGAAGGCAGCUUUCUGGAUCAUUACUGACACUGAGGAACGAAAGCAUGGGUAGCGAAGAGGAUUAGAUACCCUCGUAGUCCAUGCCGUAAACGAUGUGUGUUAGACGUUGGAAAUUUAUUUUCAGUGUCGCAGGGAAACCGAUAAACACACCGCCUGGGGAGUACGACCGCAAGGUUAAAACUCAAAUGAAUUGACGGGGACCCGCACAAGUAGUGGAGCAUGUGGUUUAAUUCGAAGAUACGCGCAGAACCUUACCAACACUUGACAUGUUCGUCGCGACUCUAAGAGAUUAGAGUUUUCGGUUCGGCCGGACGAAACACAGGUGCUGCAUGGCUGUCGUCAGCUCGUGUCGUGAGAUGUUGGGUUAAGUCCCGCAACGAGCGCAACCCUCACUUUUAGUUGCCAUCAUUAAGUUGGGCACUCUGAAAGAACUGCCAGUAAUAAGCUGGAGGAAGGUGGGGAUGACGUCAAGUCCUCAUGGCCCUUACGUGUUGGGCUACACACGUGCUACAAUGGUAUCUACAACAGGAAGCAAGACUGCGAAGUUAAGCAAAUCCCUAAAAGAUACCUCAGUUCGGAUUGCACUCUGCAACUCGAGUGCAUGAAGCUGGAAUUACUAGUAAUCGUGGAUCAGCGUGCCACGGUGAAUGCGUUCCCGGGUCU
rnacentral:rRNA from 1 species